UAACGGAGCUUCAAUAUUCUUUAUCUGC
rnacentral:piRNA from 1 species